CCCUUGACAACUCCAGAGAUGGAGCGUUCCCUUCGGGGACAAGGUGACAGGUGGUGCAUGGUUGUCGUCAGCUCGUGUCGUGAGAUGUUGGGUUAAGUCCCGCAACGAGCGCAACCCUUAUUACUAGUUGCCAGCAUUUAGUUGGGCACUCUAGUGAGACUGCCGGUGACAAACCGGAGGAAGGUGGGGAUGACGUCAAAUCAUCAUGCCCCUUAUGACCUGGGCUACACACGUGCUACAAUGGCGUAUACAACGAGUUGCCAACCCGCGAGGGUGAGCUAAUCUCUUAAAGUACGUCUCAGUUCGGAUUGUAGGCUGCAACUCGCCUACAUGAAGUCGGAAUCGCUAGUAAUCGCGGAUCAGCACGCCGCGGUGAAUACGUUCCCGGGUCUUGUACACACCGCCCGUCACACCAUGAGAGUUUGUAACACCCAAAGCCGGUGGGGUAAC
rnacentral:rRNA from 1 species